GCGGCCAUGGCGGAAUUGGUAGACGCGUAACGUUGAGGUCGUUAUGAGCCCUGCUCGUGGAAGUUCAAGUCUUCUUGGCCGCACCA
rnacentral:tRNA from 1 species